GUUGCGUUGGCCGAGUAUCUCUUAGUCUGGUCUUCCCCCAAGCUGUGAGGAUAUGAACCUGAGGGUCCCAAGGUGCAAAAGGCUCUGAUGACCUGAGGUCCAUGUGCUCCCCUUGGGGACUCUUGGCUGGAGCUGAAAGGCAGGUAUUGGCUUCAGAUUCCCCACCUUGAUCCCCUGUGUUGUUUUGUUGCUGUGCUCUGUCUCUUUCUAGUUGGCCAGUCGGUGGGCUUGAGUUCCACCUCCAACUCCCUGUAGGAAUGCUGAGAUUUCAGAUACAUGCCGCUGCAUUAAGCUGCUUACGUGGGUCAUCAGGCGUGCAAGCCUGGCAUGGUGGGACCUAUUGGUAAUCUCAGCACUGUGAAAUAGAACCGGGCCUGGGGACCAGCCGGUCAAAUGCACCUGACACGCCCCAGUCCAGGGGAGAACUGUCUCAAAAGGAUGGACAGGUGGCAGCACCUGGAGAACAGGCCUGAAACUGUUUUCUGGCCCCCACACUGGUGUGCACACACGUGCACACGCACCUGCUCUCGUAUACACCUGCACACACAGGCUCGCACA